rnacentral:rRNA from 1 species
GAUGAACGCUAGCGGCAGGCUUAAUACAUGCAAGUCGAGGGGCAGCACGAAUAGCAAUAUUUGGUGGCGACCGGCGCACGGGUGCGUAACACGUAUACAACCUACCUAUAACAGGGGGAUAGCCUUUCGAAAGAGAGAUUAAUACCCCGUAAUAAAUUGAGUGGCAUCACUUGAUUUUGAAAGCUACGGCGGUUAUAGAUGGGUAUGCGUCUGAUUAGCUAGUUGGUGAGGUAACGGCUCACCAAGGCGACGAUCAGUAGGGGAUCUGAGAGGACUAACCCCCACACUGGUACUGAGACACGGACCAGACUCCUACGGGAGGCAGCAGUAAGGAAUAUUGGUCAAUGGAGGCAACUCUGAACCAGCCAUGCCGCGUGCAGGAUGACGGCCCUAUGGGUUGUAAACUGCUUUUGUACGAGAGAAAAACCUAUUUACGUGUAGAUAGUUGAUAGUAUCGUAAGAAUAAGGAUUCGGCUAACUUCGUGCCAGCAGCCGCGGUAAU